rnacentral:rRNA from 1 species
UCCUACGGGGGGCAGCAGUGAGGAAUAUUGGUCAAUGGGCGCGAGCCUGAACCAGCCAAGUCGCGUGAGGGAAGACGGUCCUAUGGAUUGUAAACCUCUUUUGUCGGGGAGCAAAAGACGCCACGCGUGGCGUUCCGAGAGUACCCGAAGAAAAAGCAUCGGCUAACUCCGUGCCAGCAGCCGCGGUAAUACGGAGGAUGCGAGCGUUAUCCGGAUUUAUUGGGUUUAAAGGGUGCGCAGGCGGCGAGUUAAGUCAGCGGUAAAAUUUCGGGGCUCAACCCCGACGAACCGUUGAAACUGGCUUG